rnacentral:lncRNA from 1 species
GGGAAUUCCCAGCCCCUCCCUGCGGAUCCCAGGAAUUCCCAGCUCCUUCCUGUGGAUCCCGGGAAUUCCCAGCCCCUCCCUGCGGAUCCUGGGAAUUCCCAGCUCCUUUCUUUGGAUCCUAGGAAUUCCCAGCUCCUCCCUGUAGAUCCCGGGAAUUCCCAGCUCCUUUCUUUGGAUCCUGGGAAUUCCCAGCUCCUUUCUUUGGAUCCUGGGAAUUCCCAGCUCCUUUCUGUGGAUCCCGGGAAUUCCCAGCCCCUCCCUGCAGAUCCCGGGAAUUCCCAGCCCCUCCCUGUGGAUCCUGGGAAUUCCCAGCCCCUCCCUGUGGAUCCUGGGAAUUCCCAGCUCCUUUCUUUGGAUCCUAGGAAUUCCCAGCUCCUCCCUGUAGAUCCCGGGAAUUCCCAGCUCCUCCCUGCAGAUUCCGGGAAUUCCCAGCUCCUCCCUUUGGAUCCUGGGAAUUCCCAGCUCCUUCCUGUGGAUCCCGGGAAUUCCCAGCCCCUCCCUGCGGAUCCCGGGCUAGAGGAGCCCGGCCAGGGAGGCUGGAACGUCCCUGGGAUGGGAAUUUCCUCCCUCCUGGGAUGGAGCUGCCCAGGAGAUCCGGACAUUCCCUGCAUCCCUUUUCCCGCUGUUUUCCCAGCUGGGCCGGGCUGGGAAGCGCCCAGGGCUGCCCGGAGAGCUUUUCCGACUGGAGUGACUUCGGCAUGGACGAGGCGCGGCCGGAGAGCCCGGAGCGUCCGGCCGGACACGGAGUGACCCCUCUGGAGAGCCCGGAGUGUCCGGCCGGACACGGAGUGACCCCUCUGGAGAGCCCAGAGUGUCCGGCCGGACACGGAGUGACCCCUCUGGAGAGCCCGGAAUUCCCGGCUGGACACGCAGUGACCCCUCUGGAGAGCCUGGAAUUCCCGGCUGGACGUGGAGUGACCCCUCUGGAGAGCCCAGAAUUCCCAGCUGGACGCAGAGUGACCCUUCUGGAGACCGCAGCAUUCCCAGAAUUCCCAGGAAUUCCGGGAAUUCCGGACACCCUCAGGCCCCGCAGCCCUCGCUGGGAGAGGGAUGAGCGCGGAGCCCCGGGAUGGACAGACUGGGAGCGCUGGGAACGCGGCUCCAGCGGAGAUUCCCGAUAUUCCCUGGCAUUCCCUGGUAUCCCCGGGUAUUCCCAGCACUGUUUUCCUUGCUCUGCUCCUGCCUCCAAACCCUCUGGAAUUCCCAAACUGGGACAACCCGAGCCACGCUUCCCGCCGGGAAAAGGGAGGGAUGGGGCUGGAAUUUGUGUCCCACUUCCCUUCUGGGGCUUUUCCAGGGAUUUUUGGGAAAAGCGGGAGCAGCUCGGGGUGGGGUUGGUGCCUCCCCCUCCCUCAGCACGGGGUGUGGGCAGGAAAUAAAAAACAAUAAAAAUGGAAAUAAAGUGAAAUCA